GAUGAACGCUGGCGGCGUGCCUAAUACAUGCAAGUCGAGCGAACAGACGAGGAGCUUGCUCCUCUGACGUUAGCGGCGGACGGGUGAGUAACACGUGGAUAACCUACCUAUAAGACUGGGAUAACUUCGGGAAACCGGAGCUAAUACCGGAUAAUAUAUUGAACCGCAUGGUUCAAUAGUGAAAGACGGUUUUGCUGUCACUUAUAGAUGGAUCCGCGCCGCAUUAGCUAGUUGGUAAGGUAACGGCUUACCAAGGCGACGAUGCGUAGCCGACCUGAGAGGGUGAUCGGCCACACUGGAACUGAGACACGGUCCAGACUCCUACGGGAGGCAGCAGUAGGGAAUCUUCCGCAAUGGGCGAAAGCCUGACGGAGCAACGCCGCGUGAGUGAUGAAGGUCUUCGGAUCGUAAAACUCGGUUAUUAGGGAAGAACAAAUGUGUAAGUAACUAUGCACGUCUUGACGGUACCUAAUCAGAAAGCCACGGCUAACUACGUG
rnacentral:rRNA from 1 species